GUGCGUUGGAAAGUAAUCUGUUGCUUUUUCGUUGCUUCAUAGACAGAAUGAGGCGACUCAUGCAGCUGACCAAGAUGAACACCCUGAAGAUGGGUCUGUAAAGCAGAGUGAAGGAAAGGGUCCGGGACAGCUCAGGAAAGACAAGCCAAGGGGUACCAGGUCAAAAGGAAACUAUAUGGCUAUGCACUUAAAAGAUCAGAGUUUAACAGGUCUCCACCAACAGACAGCCAAAGACUUUUUACACGCACAUCUCUAUGGACCAGGCACCAACCGAACGAAUGCCAAUGAGUUUUUUUCCAUUGAAAAUAAGAAAAACCCUGUUAAAAAAGCUGCAGUUCAGUUUGUGGACAAAUCUUGGGGACUAGAAGAAAAGCAAAAAGCAACAAAGUUUAAGAAAUGCUGGCUCGCAACAAAGAUGAAAAGUCUGGUGUGAAAACAGCUUUUUCAGAAGGUGCUAUCAAGGACUUACUUACUUGUACUGAAAGUUAUCGUCUCAGCACGUGCAUAUAAGAAGAGAAUGAAUAUAUAUAUAAUAGCCUCCAGAACUCUCUUUACCUUUCAGCUGCAGACAACACAGGCACCAGAAGAGACUAACCUUCACAAAGCUGUGCUCAACUUGACUUUCAGAAGUUGCUGGGAUAGAUAGUUCAAGAAACAGCUGGGCUUUGGCAGUGACUGCAUAGCUUUAACACUCAUUUUUUUGAACAGCAGGUGUUACACAAGACCAGUUUGAUAUAGCUGGCCUCUACUGCUGGCAGAGAAUAAAGAUGAAUGAUUUUGUACACACUG